GUUUGAUCCUGGCUCAGAUUGAACGCUGGCGGCAUGCUUUACACAUGCAAGUCGAACGGUAACAGGGAGCUUGCUCCGCUGACGAGUGGCGAACGGGUGAGUAAUGCAUCGGAACGUGCCUAUUUGUGGGGGAUAACGUAGCGAAAGUUACGCUAAUACCGCAUACGCCCUGAGGGGGAAAGCGGGGGAUUCGUAAGAACCUCGCGCAAUUAGAGCGGCCGAUGUCGGAUUAGCUAGUUGGUGGGGUAAAGGCUCACCAAGGCGACGAUCCGUAGCGGGUCUGAGAGGAUGAUCCGCCACACUGGGACUGAGACACGGCCCAGACUCCUACGGGAGGCAGCAGUGGGGAAUUUUGGACAAUGGGCGAAAG
rnacentral:rRNA from 1 species